AGAGCGAACGCUGGCGGCAGGCCUAACACAUGCAAGUCGAACGGACUCUUCGGAGUUAGUGGCGGACGGGUGAGUAACACGUGGGAACGUGCCCUUUUGGUUCGGAAUAGCUCCUGGAAACGGGUGGUAAUGCCGAAUGUGCCCCUUCGGGGGGAAAGAUUUAUCGCCAUUAGAGCGGCCCGCGUCUGAUUAGCUAGUUGGUGAGGUAAAGGCUCACCAAGGCUACGAUCAGUAGCUGGUCUGAGAGGAUGACCAGCCACAUUGGGACUGAGACACGGACCCAAACU
rnacentral:rRNA from 1 species